GACUUGCCAUUGCUUCCUCUCCAAUGCUGGCAGCUGCCAGUGAAUGGGUCUGACAGUCUGAGAAAAUGGAGGUGUCGUUUUCAACUGAAAAAUGGAUGAUGUUUCCCGUCGAGUGAAAUGCUAAAACUAUCUGUAGCUUAUAGAGCAAUAAUUUUGCGAUUUCUUGGCAUCAGGUAAGUAAGGGCAAUUAAUAAUUUUUUGCCUUCUAUUGACUAGUUCAUGAAUUAUUUAGCUUGAUGCUAUGUGGGGUGGGGGAGCUCAAGACCUUCAGCCGUGUCCUUGAAAUUUUGGUAGCCUGAGUUCAUUUUUCCAAGUCCAAUCUUUAGGGGUAUGCUUGUGUAUUGUUAUGCAAUGCUUCCCAAUAUGCAUUUUAUGUUCGUUGAGAUCCAAACAUGGUCUUAGGAAUUAGGCUGAAACAAUGCUUAGUCACAUUUCUAGGCCCCAGAUGUGCUUUGUGUCUCCACUAAGUCUCCCAUUUAAACAUCACAAUACUUCAAGACAUUAUUGGGACUGGCAUACACUUGCAGCUUAAAUUUUUUAAUAGGUAAAUGUGGGUUUGAAUACUAGUCCCACUCUCUCAACAACAUGGAAAAGACAGCAGAAGAGUCCUAGUUUGGUCACUUGACAGCACAUAGAAAAGGUGGGAGACAAUCUUGGUCCACUAUGCUGAUUUUAAACCCUACACUAGAGCUUCAGUCAAAGCACUUUUCAUUAUGAAAAUACUUAUUGGCCUUGCCAUUAGCAUGAUUAAGAAUGAGAUGUAUCAUCCUAGUCCAGGGCUCAUCAAAGAUAGAGAAGAAUCCUCUGGAGCAUUAAUUCCUAUAUAUCCAAUGCUUAUCACCAAACAGUUUCUGUUUUGAAUGAGGAAGGAAAGAUAUUUAACUUUUGAUAAUUUUUGAGGAUUUGUUAAUCAUAAGUUUAUUAUUAUUUUUUUAUUUUUUUUCAUGGUAGCCAUGAUGAUCAUCUAAUCCAAUGAAGAAAGAGAAAUGCUACUAUUUGACAUUAUUAACCUCUUAGUUUCCAUAUAAUCUGUGUGUUUAAGAUUUCAAGCCAUAAUCAGAAUAAUCUUUUAUAUUGAAUCUAUUAAUUAUAUCUGUCACUCUUUCAAAUACUCUGUUCUCAAGCAUACUGAAGUUUUCUUUUCAUAGAUGUGGCUAAUGGCUAUGAGUAAUUGUUUCAUCUAUAAUCCCAAAUUUAUUGCAUUAAUAACAGGACUUCUUAGUUGCAUGUUUGAGCUGCAAGUUUGAUUCGCAACCCUUGUACGCAUGGAUAGUCAUGUUUAAACUAGAAAUGAUCUCCCUUUUACCCUCCAAAAUUUUCCCAUCCUGGAAUUUUUUUUUAUUGUGUUGUUGGCAACCGAUUUAAGUCCAAUUUAAUAUUUUUCACUAAUAUGUCAAGCUUAUUUCGUUCUUUGGACUUUGACAAUGUCUUAUUAUGGAAACUAUAAUUUCUCAUACUUUCUAAAGUGUAACAUUUCUUAAAAUCUGCAUACGUUACAUCACAUAUAAAAGUUGUUAGGCCAGCAUGAAAUAUUAUCAAUAUAUCGUAGCUAAUACUGCUACACACAAAUGUAAACAUCUUUAAACCUUCGAAGUAUGCAUUAAAAUUUAUAGAGAAAUCAAAGCCAAGGAACUAUAGCGGAUAAUAAGAAAGGGACAUUUACAAACUAAACAGAAGAAAGGAUCACACAACUUAUACCGGCCAUUGUUACCAUUUAUGUCACUGGAAAUGAACAACUGCUCUGGGGUAUUGCUGAAGUUUGGAAUGAAUUUUCCUCAAUUGAAUUGUCCGAGUAUGUGGAAGUAAUCCAUAAAUUUCAGAAGCAUCGAGUGGCAUUUCUUUCGAUUUUCCAGUGCAGAUAUUUAGAAGUUUGUUGUAUUAAAACUGCAAAUAAAUAUCUGGCAAUUAUCUGUCAAGAGAGAAGAUUCUCAGCUGAACUGCCCUUCUUCAUGUCCCUUGAUGUUAGCUGGAGCAUUUCACUCUAUGCUUUUGUUUUGUUUUACCUGUGAAUUUACACACACAAAUCAUGCAAGUCAGAAACAGUUCUUUCCAUUUUAAUUUUAAAAUUUGAUACUAAUAAUUAUUUAGCUCCCUUUAGGCACACUUCAAUAGUUUUUUGAUUGAGAUAUCUGCUACCAAAUGGGAUGGUCUAGUAUGAGGUUUGUAGUAGGAGAUAAAUGGGGAUUAAAAUUCUAUGCUUUUGUGUAUGUAAAAACUGAAGGAUUGAGUAGUAUUACAUAGUUUGUAGCAUGGUCGAUUGAAUGCUGGAUCUUCAGUUGACUUGGGAGGAUCCUGACCAAAUAUCAUCUCGCAACUCAUAUCAUCAAAAUCUGCAAAGUCAGAUGGCACAGAACUAUUAUGAAGUUGCAUUGAUGGAUGGGUUCUAUCAUGAUUCAUCACAUGUUAAUUGCAAAUGGCGACAUUGUGUUUCUGUGCUCAACUUAUGAUUGGCACUUGAGAAUGUGGAUAGACAAAUUUAGAUGCUUGUGGUCAUGUCACAUAUGCUGUAGGCUAUGCAGUAAUAAUUGGUUCCAUGGGAAAUUGAUGAAUAUCGGAAUCUUGCAUAUAACAUGGACUAAAUGGCACUAAUCAUAGAACCAUAUAUGUUUAAUUUACGGUCAAGAAUUUAGGUAUUACUGUCCAUUCGCACAUAUAUAAUUUAUAUUUGUAGUUUCAAUCUCUGUACUGGAAUUCCCACCUCAGAUUGGAUGGGUCUACAUGUGGUUUUGUACCCAAAGUGGUUAAGCUUGGGGCCCUCCCCAAUUACAAGAUGACCGUGGCCUCCACGUUCUCUAGUGCAGGUACUAUAGUAUGGUUUCUUUUCCCUUUGUUUUUGUUAGUUACUGUAAGAGGAAAUUCAGAAUAAUUUUUUUGGUAUUACUGCUAGUGCAGAUUGUAGACCCUUUCUCUGUGCAAUAAAUCAAAUUUUAGACAUUUCUUGAUAAAAUAAUAUUCUUAUUUGUUCUCUAUUAAUCUAGAAUUUCAUAAGAUUGUCUAACAAACAAGUCGGUUGGUAAUGUGACCUGUUUUAGAAGUGUAAAUGCCAUAACAUCAAGGGUUAACGGUCUGAUGUUGAAUAGUAAGUAUAUAUUUGCUUGCAGAAUGAGUAUACUUACUAGGAACCAUAUCGACUGGCAUUCCCAGGGAGUGCUUAAUAAAGGUCUGACUCGGAACCUUACAGAGAUUAGUACACAUCCCAACACAAUUAGUCUCUUCUAAAAACCUGCAAAAUCAUAAAAUAGUAAUAGUAAUAAAAAGAAAAGGGUCAACUUCAUGGAUUAUCACUAGUCGUGUUAAAAUUUUUUAUGAUUAUUUGAUAAUGAUGUUGAUUAUUGCCAUUAUGAUGGCCAUGAUGUUAAUGGAGGAAAUAGAGUCUGUAAUUAAGCAAACACACACUCAUCGGAGCAGAUUAGUUUUAGGAAUGAGAAGUGUCUUAGGUUGGUGAAAUGGGACCCCAUUAAAUGUAGGUUAUUAGUUUUGUAAGUAAAAAUGAAGGGAGAAGUUAAAGUUACCUGCACUUUUUUAUAUGGACUACAUUCUUUUCUUUUCUCCCAUUGAGCUCAGAUUCCCGUACCUUGUUUGUAAAGUGAUCAAGGUCAGUCAGUCCUGUUAAUAUCCAUUUCAUACACAGAUCUUAUUUCAUAGAUGAUGAUUAUUAUUAUUAUGUGUGCCUGUUUGCAUCUUACAAAAGAUCAGAGAAAUAUUUUUGAUUGAGGGAAUCAUUGAUGCACCUGAUAUUUACUUAAACUAUCCUAAUGCUCAAUAAAUUAACAUAAUUGCAGAUCCCAUCCCCUUUAAAGGGUGUUGGAAGUAAUAUCACAGUUCUUGAAAGGAAAAUGUUUGCAUACCUCGCAUGGCCCAAUUAGCCAGACGAAAAACAAGGUGGUGAAAGCAGCAAAAUAUUCUCUUGCAAAUUUAGAUUGGGGAAGCACUGUCUUUAUCUGCAUCAACAACUCUGGUUUGCCAUGUUACUAAAGCAAAUACAGGAAAUUCAUAUGUAGCUGCGAAAUGAACUUCAAAAGCACUGCUUAUAAAUGGAAUGAUUAUGUAUCCAGACACGGAUGGCCUUUAAAAAAAACUUAUAUGUAGCAAUUGAGGCAUGCAGCUGCUUGAGAUUGUAACAGUUAUUUUUACAGUUGUGCAGAAAUGAACACGUAUUGUUAGAAAUAUGAAGUCAUCUUGUCCACCAAAUCUGCAAUUGAUUGAUGAAUGAUAUAGAUCAUGAUGAGGAAGCCAUUUUGCUCAAAC
rnacentral:misc_RNA from 1 species